rnacentral:rRNA from 1 species
UAAUACCGGAUGCUUGUUUGAACCGCAUGGUUCAAACAUAAAAGGUGGCUUCGGCUACCACUUACAGAUGGACCCGCGGCGCAUUAGCUAGUUGGUGAGGUAACGGCUCACCAAGGCAACGAUGCGUAGCCGACCUGAGAGGGUGAUCGGCCACACUGGGACUGAGACACGGCCCAGACUCCUACGGGAGGCAGCAGUAGGGAAUCUUCCGCAAUGGACGAAAGUCUGACGGAGCAACGCCGCGUGAGUGAUGAAGGUUUUCGGAUCGUAAAGCUCUGUUGUUAGGGAAGAACAAGUACCGUUCGAAUAGGGCGGUACCUUGACGGUAUCUAACCAGAAAGCCACGGCUAACUACGUGCCAGCAGCCGCGGUAAUACGUAGGUGGCAAGCGUUGUCCGGAAUUAUUGGGCGUAAAGGGCUCGCAGGCGGUUUCUUAAGUCUGAUGUGAAAGCCCCCGGCUCAACCGGGGAGGGUCAUUGGAAACUGGGGAACUUGAGUGCAGAAGAGGAGAGUGGAAUUCCACGUGUAGCGGUGAAAUGCGUAGAGAUGUGGAGGAACACCAGUGGCGAAGGCGACUCUCUGGUCUGUAACUGACGCUGAGGAGCGAAAGCGUGGGGAGCGAACAGGAUUAGAUACCCUGGUAGUCCACGCCGUAAACGAUGAGUGCUAAGUGUUAGGGGGUUUCCGCCCCUUAGUGCUGCAGCUAACGCAUUAAGCACUC